UCCGCAGGUAGCCCAGCCGGUGCCUGGGCGCAUGCGCCAGCCCACCCCGCAGCAGGUGGCACGGAUUUGGCUCCGCCCCUGGGUCUCUGUAACCCUCUGGGUGCCGGAGCAAGUGAAUUAGAGCUCUGUCCUGGAGGAAUAACACUUUCCACACUUGGAUCGCGUUCCUUUCCGGUUCUACCAAACCAAGACAAAGAGAGAGAAGGGAAGAGAGAUCCCAGGAUGGCUCAAUCCAGAUAGAGGACCAGGCCCAGAAUUGUUUGGGAAUCUAGUUCGUACAACCUGCAGUGUUUGAUGAAUUGUUUGGCUCGUCUGUUCAUUGACUGAACUACAUACCUACUGUAAGUAAGCACUGUGCUGGGUAAGAAGAUAAAACGACGUGCAGAGAUCCUGGCCUUUAAGCAAUUCAGCCAAGAGUAGCAGCAGAAGAGUAAACAAGUAAUAUCUUGAGCUAGAGAGACAUCUCAGAGGUUAAAAGCACUCGCUGCUCUUCCAGAGGACCUGAGUUCCUUACCCAGCACCCACAUCAGAUGGCUAACAACUGUCUGUAACUUCAGCUCCAGGGGAUUUAGUGCCUUAGUGCCUAUGGCCUCUGCUGACACCGGCAUUCACCUGCACACACCCUUAUACAAACACACACACACACACACACACACACACACACACACCUAUAACACUUAUACAUAAUUAAAGAUAAUACAAAUAGUCGGCGUGGUGGUGCAUGCCUUUAAUCCCAACAACAGCACUCAGGAGGCAGAGGCAAGCGUAUCUCUGUGAGUUCGAAGCCAGCCUGAUCUACAAAGCAAGUCCCCAGGACAGCCAGAGCUGUUACACAGAGAAACCCUCUCUUGAAAAACCAAUAAUAAUAAUAAUUUUCUAAGCAUUUAAAUAAAUAAUGAUUUAGUACUGUUCUAGCUAUUUGGGGAAAUGCUGAGGAAGCCAAAGAGAAAGAGAAGGGCUCGCUCUGUUCCUCUGCCCACUGCAUAAAAGACUUAACAAAGAAGGUGACAUGAAACUGAGUAUUGGAGGGUGAGUAGGAGUUCCACAGCACAGGAGCCAGGGUAAGCUCAUAGCCGGCCAAAGGAACGGCAUAUAAGAACAGAGGAAUGGAGGCGUGAGAAAGUCGUGUUCCAUGCAAUGCAAAGUACAGAGAUUCCUAUUCGGGGGCUGCUGAGUAUGGGGGGAGGGGAGUGGUAGAUGAAGCUUGGAGAAGUAACUCUCAGUUCCAAUUACAGCAGAGCACAGAACACAUCUAAUGUUAAUGUAUUGUCUAGAAGCCAACAAAACAGAGAACACCCGAGCCUCUGGUAGGACAGAGGAGAUGGGUCCACUGAAAUGAGGAAAGAGAGUUGUUCUUUGACCAAGUGUUGGCUGAACAUCAUUUGCAUUGAAAGUGCCCUUCAGAGUAAAAGAUGAAGCAGACAGAUGAAGCCACUACCUCCAGCAGCUUGCAAUCUGGACAGAGUGACUUAGUCUGAAAGAGAAGAACUCGGCCCUAAGUGCCCCUGAACUGCAUAUCAGAAUGACCAGUUCCAGAAGAGGGAGCCAUUAUCUGGUGGCAUAGGAAUUAGAAAGCUGGAGAUCACCAUGCAAUUGGACAGCAGAAAGGAGAGCGAUCGAAUCCAACACUAUCUCACGUUGGGUGGACUCCAGGAUCCAGGGAAGAGCAGCCAGGAUAGUCGAAGGACAAUAUCUCCCUGCUGCUGCCUCUGACCUGCAUCUGUCCUGCUUCCAAUCCACAGAAACUGAUGGAGAGCGAGGGUUUUCUUCUUCGAUUUCUUCCCUCUCCUGUAAUUACAACUUCCCCUUUCUCUCAGGGUGCCUACCCGACCCUGGUGGGUUCUGGGGUGGACACCUUCAACCAGAUCUCAAUCACUUUGGCACCCGCAGACAGACAUCUUUGCUGAAGAGGCUCUUCUGCAUCCCUGGACUGGCCCAGCUGUUUAUCAAGGAUAAAGAAAGCAAGGUGGUGUCAUGUACCUUCAAGACAAGCCUGGCUUUUCCUUUGUAGCCUUCGAGCUGGAAUGGCACAUUUGAAUCAGCUGGGAUUACUGGGGUGGGGGUGGUAGGCACCUGUUCCCUAAAUAGCAUUUCCUUCCCUUGCAAACCCAGACACAAAAGAAAUCAACUCCUGAUCUUGCCCACUGUGAAGGGGGUAAUGAAUGCUGGGCUCAGAGUUUAUUUUCUGUCCAUAGCCCAUUUACUCCGAGAACCUGAGUAAAGCUCUUAGUCUAUUUGCCCCACAUCCCUGUCUUCUAGAACACAGAUACAGUGUCACUAAUCUGUAGCUCACCUCACUGGGAUAUCGAAAGAGACGAGGAGCACCAGCCUUUGGGAAAAAGCCUUGGAGGACCUGAAAUGUGUGUAAACUCAAGGAUUUAUUAUAAGAAUUAUAAACAGACCUGAACUUCAGCCC